rnacentral:lncRNA from 1 species
ACGGAAUCUCUCGUUGCUAUGCACGCAGACUGUGUAAACAGGCCAAUAGAAGUCGCCUGUGUGAAAACUGAUCAUCUCAACAGGGGUUGUCAGGGACCCCUCGCUCUGAAGCCACCUUCCCAGUGUGACUUACAACAUAGGACAAGUAGCCGCGUGGACACUCUCACAGAAGGAAGGACAAGAAGAGCGACUCCACAUAUACAAGCAGGAGCUUUAGGAUGUUGGGCUAUGUUAAAAUGGGGAUGGGGAGAGACAGGGAUAACAUUUGUGAUGGCAGGUGCCAGGCAGCACAGGGAGAGUGAUACAAUUUCCAGUUGGGAAAUUUCACCCAGAGCUUGCUGCUUUCUUCUGAUUUUACUUCUCAAUAUCUGAAGUAUUUAUUUAAUUUUUUUCUGUCUUAUUGGACUAUAAAAUCAUGGAGUAUGAGGAUUAAGUCAUCUUUCCAUCUUUUUCCUAAGUCACAUAAACAAAUUCCAAUCCCUGCGCUCAUUUCUCAAAUUGAACAAGAGUAAAGAAGGCCAACAGCCAACUACAUCUUAUCAAGAAGAGUUUCUUAGAAAUAAGAUUAAAAUGGAAACAGACUUUUAAAGGAGAAACGGCUGCAUCCAUUUAUUGCAUUUUAUUGUCUACAGACUGUCAAGAGUAUACUGGAUGUGAGAAUUCAGGUACUGAGCAAAGACUGGGUAAACAAGGCUUGAUUUACUUAAACUUAUGUCACCUAACGAAUCUAUUAUGUCUUCAGAGAACCCAGAAUAUAGAAUCUAGAAUGUUUUGUUGACUUGCUGUUGAGAAUCUCUUAAUCUUGAAUCUCAAAACACAAGGAAAGAUCAUUUUGUCAAUCUCUCCCAAUAUUUUUUCUACCUGUGAAACUAUAUCAUAAAUCUUUGAUUAUGGG